CAGCCGCCGCGGGAAUACGUAGGGUGCGAGCGUUAAUCGGAAUCACUGGGCGUAAAGCGUGCGCAGGCGGUUCGUUAAGACAGAUGUGAAAUCCCCGGGCUUAACCUGGGAACUGCAUUUGUGACUGGCGAGCUAGAGUAUGGCAGAGGGGGGUAGAAUUCCACGUGUAGCAGUGAAAUGCGUAGAGAUGUGGAGGAAUACCGAUGGCGAAGGCAGCCCCCUGGGCCAAUACUGACGCUCAUGCACGAAAGCGUGGGGAGCAAACAGGAUUAGAUACCCGCGUAGUCCCUGUCUCUUAUAC
rnacentral:rRNA from 1 species